rnacentral:rRNA from 1 species
GAUGAACGCUGGCGGCGUGCCUAAUACAUGCAAGUCGAGCGAACAGACGAGGAGCUUGCUCCUCUGACGUUAGCGGCGGACGGGUGAGUAACACGUGGAUAACCUACCUAUAAGACUGGGAUAACUUCGGGAAACCGGAGCUAAUACCGGAUAAUAUAUUGAACCGCAUGGUUCAAUAGUGAAAGACGGUUUUGCUGUCACUUAUAGAUGGAUCCGCGCCGCAUUAGCUAGUUGGUAAGGUAACGGCUUACCAAGGCAACGAUGCGUAGCCGACCUGAGAGGUGAUUCGCCCACCCGGAACUUAGGACCCGGCCAGACUCCCAAGGGAGGGCACCGGAGGGAAUCCUUCGGCAUUGGGCGAAGCCCUACCGAGGCACCGCGCCGGAGUUAAUAAGGUUCUCCGAUUCGUAAACCCCUUUUUUUGGGAAGAACCAAAUUUGUAGGUACCUUGGCCCGUCUGACGGGUCCCAAAUCAGAAGGCAACGCCUACCUCCUU